UGCCAUUCUCUGUCUUACUUCCCUUGUGG
rnacentral:piRNA from 1 species